rnacentral:rRNA from 1 species
GGAAUAUUGCCCAAUGGACGAAAGUCUGAGGCAGCAACGCCGCGUGAGCGAUGAAGGCCUUCGGGUUGUAAAGCUCUUUUAUGAAGGAAUAGCAAGGACUGUACUUCAUGAAUAAGGAUCGGCUAACUACGUGCCAGCAGCCGCGGUAACACGUAGGAUCCAAGCGUUAUCCGGAUUUACUGGGCGUAAAGCGCGUGCAGGUGGUUUGUUAAGUUGGGUGUUAAAUCUCUCGGCUCAACUGAGGGGUGUCGCUCAAAACUAGCAGACUGGAGGAUGGUAGAGGAUGGCGGAAUUCCGGGUGUAGUGGUGAAAUGCGUAGAUAUCCGGAGGAACACCAGUGGCGAAGGCGGCCAUCUGGACCAUUCCUGACACUCAAACGCGAAAGCUAGGGGAGCAAA